AUUGAACGCUGGCGGCAUGCCUUACACAUGCAAGUCGAACGGUAACGGGCCUUCGGGUGCCGACGAGUGGCGAACGGGUGAGUAAUACAUCGGAACGUGCCCGAUCGUGGGGGAUAACGAGGCGAAAGCUUUGCUAAUACCGCAUACGAUCUACGGAUGAAAGCAGGGGACCGCAAGGCCUUGCGCGGACGGAGCGGCCGAUGGCAGAUUAGGGAGUUGGUGGGAUAAAAGCUUACCAAGCCGACGAUCUGUAGCUGGUCUGAGAGGAUGAUCAGCCACACUGGGACUGAGACACGGCCCAGACUCCUACGGGAGGCAGCAGUGGGGAAUUUUGGACAAAGGGCGCAAGCCUGAUCCAGCCAUGCCGCGUGCAGGAUGAAGGCCUUCGGGUUGUAAACUGCUUUUGUACGGAACGAAAAGCCUUCUUUUAAUACAGGAGGGUCAUGACGGUACCGUAAGAAUAAGCACCGGCUAACUACGUG
rnacentral:rRNA from 1 species